rnacentral:rRNA from 1 species
CCGGGGGGCAGCUACACAUGCAGUCGAGCGAGAACUUCGGUUCUAGCGGCGGACGGGUUAGUAACGCGUGGGAACGUGCCCUUCACUACGGAAUAGUCCCGGGAAACUGGGUUUAAUACCGUAUACGCCCUUCGGGGGAAAGAAUUUCGGUGAAGGAUCGGCCCGCGUUAGAUUAGAUAGUUGGUGGGGUAACGGCCUACCAAGUCUACGAUCUAUAGCUGGUUUUAGAGGAUGAUCAGCAACACUGGGACUGAGACACGGCCCAGACUCCUACGGGAGGCAGCAGUGGGGAAUCUUAGACAAUGGGCGCAAGCCUGAUCUAGCCAUGCCGCGUGAGUGAUGAAGGCCUUAGGGUCGUAAAGCUCUUUCGCCAGGGAUGAUAAUGACAGUACCUGGUAAAGAAACCCCGGCUAACUCCGUGCCAGCAGCCGCGGUAAUACGGAGGGGGUUAGCGUUGUUCGGAAUUACUGGGCGUAAAGCGCGCGUAGGCGGAUUGGAAAGUUGGGGGUGAAAUCCCAGGGCUCAACCCUGGAACUGCCUCCAAAACUAUCAGUCUAGAGUUCGAGAGAGGUGAGUGGAACUCCGAGUGUAGAGGUGAAAUUCGUAGAUAUUCGGAAGAACACCAGUGGCGAAGGCGGCUCACUGGCUCGAUACUGACGCUGAGGUGCGAAAGUGUGGGGAGCAAACAGGAUUAGAUACCCUGGUAGUCC